rnacentral:lncRNA from 1 species
AAGGUGGAGUGGGAGGGAUUUGGGGUGGCGGGGUUGCCCGAGGGUGUAAGGACAUUUACCUUGGGGCAUCAAAGCUGUCGUAGGAGCCCACGGUAUAAUGCCGGAAGAGUCUCUUUGCCUUGUCACUUCGGCUUUCUGCAGGGGGACAGAGGAUGACCUUGGACCUUCUACUCUGGAAAUCAUGGGUUCACCCCGAUUUGGGUGUCCUGGCCCAAGCCUUCCCUUCGACCUCCCACCCCCACCAGGAGGGGGAAAGGAAGGGACAUGGGAAUCUAGAUGCUUUGCUGCUGCUGUUCCUGAUCAUGACGAGAGCGACAGUGACAAGCCCACAGCCGUCCACCUCUCCAGCAUCUUUCACAGCUCUGUUCCCACUUGGCCCUUCACAUCCUUCAUUCACUCUCUCCUUACACCUCAGUAGGUAACAACUGAUUUCUCACUUUAUAGAUGAAGCUGAAGCUAAAGUAGAAAAACCUCUUGCCCAGGGGUGGCUCGAGCCAUGCUAGGGUUGGGGUUGGGGUCAUGUGAUGCUUUGCCCUGCACUGAUCACCUCCUCUGAGAGGGUCUGGGGAAACUCCAGCCAGGAGAUGCUCAAGGUCAUGGAAGAGAGCAUAUGUGUGUCAAGAGGUCUGGGCUCUUGGCUGACUUUGCCUUGCCCAGCUGGAUGAUCUGGGAAUCAUUCAUUUGUUCACUAAAAAAAUAUGUAUUUUGUGCCAGUCAUGAGUCAGACAUCAGGCUAGGACCCGAGUACAGCUGUUGUGUUAGUUGCUCAGUCGUGUCCGACUCUUUGUGACCCCGUGGACUAUAGCCCACCAGGCUCCUCUGUCCAUGGGAUUCUCCAGGCAAGAAUACUGGAGUGGGUUGCCAUGCCCUUCUCCAGGGGAUCUUCCCAACCCAGGGAUGAAACCUGGGUCUCCUCUGGCAUUGCAGGCAGAUUCUUUGCUGUCUGAGCCACUAGGGAAGUGAGUAGAGCUGUCAGACACAGCACACGUGGUUCCUGUCCUCACGGAGCUUCCAGACUGGCAGCCAGUGGAGUCAUAACUUUACAAGUGACCCCAUGAUUGGAAAACUGAGGUCAGGGCUUAAGCGGGGAAAGGAGAGGGUUUUUGGAGAAAGACCAGAUAGGAGUAUAUAAAUCUGAUGAGGGAAUUUCCUCGGUGGUCCUAGAGGUUAAGACUUCGCCUUCCAAUGCAGGGGGUGUGGGUUUGAUCCCUGGUCGAGAGGCUAAGAUUCUACAUAAACCAUAAAACAGAAGCAAUAUUCUAACAAAUGCAGUAAAGACUUUAAAACUGGUCCACAUCAAAAAAAAAUCUCUAUAAACAAAUCUGAUGGCAUGAGGGGAUCAGGAAGGCAUCUCAGAGGAUGUGACAUACGGGCUGAGACCUAAAGGAUGCGGGGAGUGCAAGAGGCAGAGAGAGGGGGCUUUCUGGGCAGAAGGAACAGCAUGUGCAAAGAGUUUAGGGUGGAAAAAGACUUGGGGCGUUUGAGGAAGGAUAAGGAGGAUAAGGUCCCUGGAACCCUUCAAGUGAAGCAAAGAGCAGCCUGAGAUGAGGCUGUGUUGGGGCAGAGUGGACAGAGGAGGGGCUUGCAGGCCAGGCUGAGGCCCUAGGCUUUGAUCCUGAGAGCAGAGGGAGUCUGCUACCUUAAUCGGGCUAUGAAGAAGCCCAGUGACAUCAUGGAUGUGGGUGUGCUCUGAGGCAGUCAGGGAACUUUUAAGGAAAGGAAAGGAUAUGAAGUCAGGGCAGCACAUCGGAUGACUGGGCUUGACACUCAUAAAGACACAUAGAAGAUGUAGCCCAUGGCCCUCUGCCUGUGGGAGGGUCCCUCACCUCUGACCUCAGCUUCCCCUUCUUCUUUUGCACAGACCUGACCCCCACUCCUGAGAGUCCCUUGGACCACAAGGAGAUCCAACCAGUCCAUCCUAAAGGAAAUCAGUCCUGAGUGUUCAUUGGAAGGACUGAUGCUGAAGCUAAAACUCCAAUACUUUGGCCAUCUGAUGCAAAGAACUGACUCAAUGGAAAAGACCCUGAUGCUGGGAAAGAUUGAAGGCGGGAGGAGAAGGGGACGACAGAGGAUGAGAUGGUUGGAUGGCAUCACUGACUCAAUGGACAUGAGUUUGAGUAAACUCCGGGAGUUGGUGAUGGACAGGGAGGCCGGGUGUGCUGUGGUUCAUGGGGCUGCAAAGAGUCGGACACGACUGAGUGACUGAACUGACCCCCUACCCGGCCAUACGCACACAUACACACUCUCCCCUGGCACGCUGCCCCUCUGCCAGAGGCACUGCCCCUGCCUGGCUGCCACAGUUAGCUCCUGCAUUUGGCCAUUCAUCCAUUCACCCGUUCACUCAGCAGAUGUGCACCGAGGCCCUCUGUGUGCUGCGUCAUUAACCUGGGCCCUGAUGACCCAGCUCCUGGUGACACGUGGCCUCAUCUUCAGAAACUCAGGCCCCAGGGAGACAGACUACAAGACAGACGUAACUACACAACCCAACUGACACUCUGACCCUGGCACGCUCUUCAAGGCCCACUUAAACCAUGUCUCCUGUGGGAAGACACCCCCCUCCUCCACCCCCAGACUCAGCUUCCCCCAGGGCCUAGGGUCUCUCCCUUCUAAGUGCCCCUAGUGGGGGCUGCGUAUGAUAAUGACAGCUGGCCUUAUUAGGUAUGAAUCACUGUUCUGUGGGCUUUCUAAGAGCUGACACCUUUAAUCCUCGUAAAGGUCCCAUUGUACAGAUGAGAACACUGAGCCUUGGAGAAGUCGCUCGCCUGAGGCCGCCCUGCUAGGAAGUGCAGGAGCGGGGACUUGAACCCAGACAGCCUGGUUCUCAACCCCUACGCAACUCGGCUCAUCUGCCAGCCUAGAGUUGGCCAAAGAAUUGCUCCCCCGCCUUGAAUGAACUACGGCAGGGUACUUCCUGUCUCCAAAGCACCAUUCUGUCCAAGAACACACAUCGGCAGCCUUGUGAAGUCGCACGCGGGGGAUCCUGGCAUGGUUUUCCAGAGGAAGGCAGGGAAACAGGAGAGAGGCCAAGCCCCGUGACAGCAGCCUCUGUUCAGAAAGCCCUCAGCAGGGACUGGCUUCACCUGCUGCCCAUCUCACCAGAGCCCGAGAGAGCGGGCACCACUACCCCGUGUCUCAGAUGAAGACGCCUGGCAGAGGCAGGAGGUGAAGUCAAGGUGGCAUGUCCCUCACUCUCCGCACAAGAGAGCAAGAAGAACUGUGGUUUCGGACUGGGGACCUCAGGCAAGUCGCUUCACCCGUGCAAGGCUCUGCCCCUUCGACUGGACAAUGGGCUCCGGACACCCGCCUUCAAGGGUGACGGUGAGCGAGAUGGGCCCUCAUGGGGUCGAUGUCCCAGAGAUGCUCAUCUCCUCUCUUUUGCCUGGACCCACCUCCUGGCAGCGCAGCAUCUGAGCUCCACUGUUUGCUCCUCCGAGGCGGAAGGGGAACCUAGGUCUCUCUGAGGUCUCCAGCGUGCCCUGGACGUUCCAGGUGCUGGACAACUGUUGGUCACGGGCCGGCCCCUCCCUGAGAGGUGGGUGAGUUCACCUGCCAACCCUUGCCCACAGCCCCGCUGCACCCUGCCCCUUUACCUUUGAUCUUUUCGCCCUUGCUCAGGGAGAUCUCCCCCUCGGCUUGGGCCUGGUAGGACUUCACAGCCAUGAAGGAGCGUCCAGGGACUGCCGAGUAGAGCUUCCUGCGUCUCCCGCGGCUGCCCAGGGAGCCCCCGGGGCCCCCGGAGCCCCCCGUGCCCCCGGCUGGCCCUUCCCGGGGUGUCCCGCUGGAGCUGCAUACACAGAGGGUGUGAGAGGCAAGGGGGAGUGGAGGGAGGGGGCACCUCUGGGAGAACAGGGGUCCUUGGGGGGGUGGGAGGUGGAGCAUCAGGGUGGGGGAGGGAGUCUGAGUGCCUUUUCCGGCUCUGGGGGCUGGGGGUGGGGGGUGGAGGGGAAGAGGGCAUUUGGGGCUCCCCCUGCCUGCCCGAUACAGGCCGCCAGCCCCCUUUCCUGCCUCCUGGCUUCCGGCUCUGUCCCCUCCCACGGGCCUGCACACCCUGCCUGAUUCAGCUUCCUGAAGCUGAGCUCUGCCUGUGUCAUCCCUAGCUCACGAGCCUUUGGCGACUCCCAGCUUCCUCCUGGGCUGGGUCCAGCGCCUCUCCCGCCAUCCCCAGCCCACCACCAUCUUC